GUAGAGCUGCUUGCCCCCCCUCACUCCCACCAUGGAAUUCUUCUGGCUGCAGAAAUGCACCAAAAAUCUGGUAGGAACAAGAGCAGGGCAGCCCCUUGCUCCAGACUCGGCUGCUGCCUGCUCUGUGGAUGUGAUGCUGUCUCCUGGCCAGGCUGAUCCUCCAAGCAGCAUCACAUCCACACUUGAUCUUUUUGAAGACUCUGGAAGCAGCCUCCCCUUUUUCAUAAGAGAAGGAAUCAGUCUGUCUGGCCUCCCCCUGGCUCCCUGGUGGUUCCUCCCAGCCUGGGUGCCCUGCCAAGCCCUGCUGGUCUGGGUUUAAUAAGCAGCAGCUCUGCUCCAGGGAUGGAAAUUAGAGGUGGAUGCUGCAGCAGAGCAAAGUGCAGGGACGUGGUGGCAAGAGCUUCUGGAUCCCUCCUCGUCCAUGUUUCUGCCAUGGCACAGCUGAGGCCUGGCCUAGAAAAUGCACUGUGCACAGCUGGAUUUGCUUCUGGAGCAGGGUGUACCUCCUGCAUGGCCUCCUUGUUUUUCCACCUAACUCCACAUGGGAUUGGAAAAUACCAGUGGAAUAUGAAAUAUGAACCAGGACCUGCAGGAUGACCCCACGUCAGCGGGCUGGCAGCCAGAGCCCAGUGGGACAGCCCAGUUCCCAGCAGACACUAAUUCCCUGUGUCUCUGCAGCUGGGCUUUGCCCUGGGUGUUUGUAAAAUAACACUUUUCCAGGAGCACUCCUGGGGUUCACGCCUUAGAUCUCUGUUCUGCUGUUCCCCUGUCCUGACAGCUCUGCUCUGUGAGGUGCCCCAGAUGCUGGCAGGAGGAGUGCAAGUCAGGCAGUCAGCAGAAGCCAAAAGUUCAAUGAGUUCAUCUUUGGGUCCACCGACAGUGGAGGUGUUGUUAGAGAAGUAGAUUGGUAAGGAGCUUGGAGUUCAAUCAGCUGAUGAAGGGUUUAAGAAGGGAACCUCUUUUUUUCCUACUUCCCAUGUUGCCCACUGGCCUCAUUGUGGCAUCCUUCCUUCUGCCCUCGUGGCCAUAACUGUGCUCCCAUUCAGGUGGAACCCCAUCUGAAACUGGUGGGACAUUGCUCUGUGCCAUCUGAAGGCAUGAAUAACAAAUGUGGUUUGUGAAUGGGGCAAGGUUAAAUGUCCAUGUGCUUCAUCCGUUCCUCCAUCCCUCACUGGAGAUGUUUGAAGCAGAAUUUAAACCUGUUCUCUGGGAGGAUUUACUUAAACAGCUUCAUCUCCACAGAGGGAGGGUUGUGAAGCCACACCACCCCUGUAGCUCAGCCAGGAUGAAGGAGUGUUAAAACCAUCUGAUUUCAGACCCCAGAUGCGUCUGCUGUGGAUAAGGCUUGACACCAAAGAGAUCUCCUGACCAGUAGCUUCAUGCAAGCAGCUCCUGCUCUCCGUGGCACUCAAGAGUCAUUAAAUCAGUGUCCCUGAUUAUUUUCUCUGUGUGUGUGUGUGUCUUGUUUGCACAUGGAAAAUAUUUUGCGUUCUCCUGUCAAUUCUUUCCCAGAACUUUGCAUUGUUUCAGCUGAGAAUGAUUCCUGGGAGGAGGAAAGCAGGAACAGGUGAGUGACUGGCCAAGGAUGUGCUGGACAGGCUCAGACCCCAUUUAGGAUGGCUUGAGGUACCACGGAUGUGCAUCUUAGCCUGUGCCAGAAGUUAACAUUCCUUCUGCCACGAUGACAGGGAGAGGGAUGCAGCCAUGUCCUGCCUGCUGCUGGUCUCCAUCCAGCACAUACCACGGUCCCCCCAAACAGCCCAAAAAAAUUUUGGGCUGUUUGGGGUUUUUCAUGCACUGGUGGCCUGCAGGGCUGUGGACCAGCUCUCUGUAGCCUCAGCAUCAGCCGAAGGUUAUUCAGAAAGGGCAGCUGGUGGACUGAGUGUGGCUGGAUCUGUCCAGAUGUGAGCUGUGAUGCUGCAGUGGAAAACUGUAUCCCCAUGCCAGGGCAGGCUUGUAACAGGAAAAGCCAGCCUGGGGGCAAAGCAGGAACACAAGCUAAUUUGGGAACACAAUGGUUAUGCUAAUCAAAACACCUUCCAGAGGAGAAGGGAAGGAAAUUACCUAAUCCUUCACUGUGCAGAGUGGUGUCCCUGUGCCCAGGCUGAAGGACCAGGGCUGUGCACAGCUUGGAAGAAAGGGCAUUUCCAUCUGGGCAAGGGAAAAACCCCUGGGACCUAUUCCCUCCAGACCCUCUCCAUCCACAUUGGAUGGAGGAGAGUCCUCCUCUUCCCAUCCCCAAACUGGCUUUAGGUCCCGAAAAAUUCAGGCUUCUCUUGAAAGUUUGGCUGGACACAAACUUACGUGACUCAGGAGCUUAGCAAGAAACUUCAUCAGAAUUUGGCAAAUCAGCUGAGAAGGGUUGAAGCAGUUCAGGGAAGUGCAGCCUGCCUUGCUCCACUGCCAGCAGACUGGGAUGGGGCAAUCACUGGCUCUGUCAGGGGAACUCUUCCUGUGUCCCAUGGAUGAUCUUAGCAGGGUUCAUGCUCAUUGCCUGACUCAACAUCUGGAAACUGUAAUCCAACUGAAAACAGCCCAGGAAGGCUCUCCUAACAAGCCAGGAACAAGCAGAGCUCCCAGCUUUGAGAAAUCCUGGGCCAUGGCCCCAGAGAGAGAAUUUAAGUUAUUUUGGGGGAUGCUGGUGCUACAGAGCAUGAGUAGAGGACAACAGUGCACUUUCAGCAUUCAAUGACAAGCCACAAAGUGCCUCUGGCUUACAAGAAACACACCUCAGCUGAAGACAGGCUUCCCUGGUUGAGGCUGUCCCACAUUCCCAAGGCUCCUCUGCCUGCUGCCCCCACACCUCCAGGUAAAACCUGUGCAAUGCCUUUUCUCCCUGGCUGAAUCCAGGAGUCAACAGGAAGAAAGUGUGAGCCACAUCCAGAGUCAGAGGUUUGGAUGCACUUGGAGGGACUACAAAAUACAGGCACAAGAGCCAUGAAGGGAAAGCCAAGAGCUGAAGAGGUUUUUCUUCUGUCCCAUGAAAAAAUACACUCUCCCACAGACACCAAAGGGACACCCAUGGAAGGAUUUUGCAAAGAGCCAACAGCCCCUCUCUGUCUCUGCAGAAAAACACCUUACUUUGAAUCUCCUGGGAUCUGCCAUAUCAGCAUUGAAAUGUGUCAGAAGGUCUCUAAAACAAACAUACCUAGGAAUGGUUGUUUGCCCAGAAAAACAGGAGAAAAAGAAGUAAAAAGAAGGUGUGGGGGAACCAAACCUGCCCUGGAGGGGAAGGCACAUCCAUCCCCAGCCACUCACACCUGGGCUCUGCUCUCCCAGCAUGGCCCUGAGCCCUGGAAAACCUUCAGCUCACAUUCAAAGAGGACUUUUGGCCAGCAGUCGCCUUGGCAAGGGGCAGUGUUAUUCGGUGUUUGACAAGGGCCUUAAAAGUAAAACUGGAGCAAAGGAGGCCGAAUGGGAAAGCUGGGAAUCAGGUCACCAUGACUCUGGUCAGUUGGAAGUGCUCUGACACAGCAGAGCUGGGCUGUGGACAAUGGCCUUUGGCAUGCUCAUUCCUCCUGGGAGCUGAGCAUGGAUCCCUCCCAGGCAGCAGAGCUGCUUCCCAUUUCCACUGCCAGGGGCAGAGCCUCUUGUAAAUCUCUUCAUACAGCCUAAUUAACCUCUGAGAAUGGCUUAUAAAGAACAACAUGUUGUAAAAUCCAAACAUUUAGUUGUGCCAUAAGUGCCAAGAUGAUCUUUUAAAGCCCCUGCAGUAAAUAACACAUUUUGGGGUCUCUCUGACAUUGCAGCACAUGCUCAAAACUUAUCAGAAGGCAGGGAGUUACACUUCUCAGACUUUUUCUCUGCUGUCCUGGUUAUACACACACAUGUAUAUUUAUACUGCAAGCUGUACUUUGGCUCUGUGUACUCAAGAGAAAUACAAUGUAAAGCUUGUCUGCAUUGCUGCCUCCACUCCUAUUUAUAUUUUAAAGACCUGUUUUGACUCCUGGAUGAGAUGCAUUCUCCUAAAAGUGUAACAUUUCCAUCAAUGCCUAAAAAAUCAAGAGCAGGUACUUGCCAGACUGCCCUAGUUCAAGUGGGAAAGCAAGUCAGAGAGACUUUUUCCAGUACCCAGGUCUGUAGGUAUUACUGAGGGCACUGAUCAUCAAAGCCUUGCUCAACCACCAGCACCUCUGCUGCUGGGUGGAAGGUUGGUGUUUCCAGUGAUGCCUCUCCAUCCAAGGAGAGGGAUCCACAGGCUCCACAGCGGCUCAGACCUAUCCCUGCACCAGCCUCUGCUCUCCAAACUGCCCCCUCACUUCAGGUUCCUCUGUUUUUAAAUGUCAGGCCACGUUCUUCUGUUCUUCAGAAGGUGCUGAACACCUACAGCCAGGGGUUUCACUAGAAAAUUUUCCUCCUUUAAAAUAGCCAACCAGAACAUUUGAUUUACCCAUGCUCAUUUAUUCAUUGAAAGUAUUGAUGAGGCUACAUUUGUUAAUUCAGCCAGUUGAAUGUUGUGCCCUCCUCAUGUGACCAAACAAAUAAAGAGGGAAUAAACUCAGAGCAAACAUCUAUUCCAGGGAGCUCGUGUCUUUGUGAAAGGCUGUCAGAGGCUCAAAAAGAAAGGAAAAAUAUUAACAAUGCUGCCUGAUGCUGCUGAACCUUCUCCAACUGCACCAAAUAAUUUGCAAGGGGCAAGUCCACGGUGAAUCUCGUGAAGUUUUAAGACUGAUCUGGGGCCAGCUGGAGAAGGGGACACCCAGGAACGUGCACAGCCCACUCUGGGAGAGCGACGCCGCUCCUGCACCAGCAGCUGCCGGGAACAAAACGUUUUUGCAAUCGGCCAGCGGGAGUUAAAGAAGAAAGCAGCCUGGCAGUAAAUAUACUUAGCAAAUUCAAACAGUGAAAGAGUUCCAGGAAACUGAGAUAACCCUGCAGGCACAAAGAUCCUGAUCCAAAGCCCACGGAAGUUGGUGGAAAAGAAAAUCCUGUUAGCUUUUCGAUGAAGCACAAAGAAAGUGAAAUAAGAGGUCUGGUCCAAAUGAGUCUGUAAUUCUUCCCAAUGAAACAGCCACCCAAAUCUCACACACCUUCCCUGGCAGCUGCUCUCUUGCAGCUUGGCCCCCACAAUGGGAAUUUCUACUCAUGUAUGUACCGACACAUACAUUUUUUACUUACAGACUGCUCCUGCUCCCCUGGCAGCUCUCAGGUGUCUGCGACCUUGUCACCAAACUGAGAAGUUGGUGUUUCUCCUUGAGCUUCCUGUAGUUACAGGGGUAUUUAAAGAUUUCCAAAGGCAGGAAAAAAGCCCCUGAGCAGCCCCAAAAUCAGCACAUUUCCAUGUAACCCCAGAGUGCUAAAACCAGGGUGUGGGAUCCAUGGGUCAGUCAGUGGGGACCAGCAUCCCACAGCACAGAGGGGACACCUGAGGAGCAGCCAGAGAGAUGCCAGGUUGAAGAAGACACACUUUGCACAAGGGUGCAAAACGCUGGCUGAAGUAGGAUCCUUGUUUUGGCUGCUCAGCAGGCAGCGGACCUGGCUGAGCACUUUAUUUUAAAAUAAAAUGUGGGGGUUUUACUUUGCUCCUUUUAACUGCAAUUGCCUGGAAUAAAAAUUAGCAGUUACACAGUGCCUGCUCCAGAGACCACUGACAUCAACAGCAAAUUGUUCCUGCCUUCAGUGGGCUUUGAAUCAGAUCCUAAAAAUGCAGCCCAGCCCAUCCACAUCUGCAAUACCACAGGCAGAAAUGAGUUCAAGCAUCCUAGCAAUCCAGGGAGGCGGGGGGAAGAAACCCCCAAGGUGACAUCUAGGAAAGGAAAUGUGCCACAAGCCAGCAGCUGCCUUGGAGCUCUGAAGGGGGAUCAGGAGAAUGGGAGGGGAUUGCUUGGCUGGGCCAAGUUAGAAAGACAAUUGCCCUCUUAAUACCAGCAUUACCCAGCUCCAGCCUGGCCACUCAGUUUCUCCAUGCUGACAAGUUUUACUGUCCCUGGGCUGUCAGGGCAAUGCUAAGCAAUGGUUUUCCAACAGAAAGACCCUUGUCAAAGAAGAAAGUGUCUUCCUGAGAGCUAUAUGUUUGUAUGAGAAAAUACAGAUUUUUAAGCAUCUCCUUCCUCCUCUGGAUUUAUAGCAUUAAAAUUAAUCAGAGAAAAGAUAAGACUGCUGGGGUUUUAAUUACAGUCUUUAUCAAAGAACAGCUUUUAUGACACUGGAAAGGAAAUCAAGUUGAGACUUUGGAAUAC